rnacentral:rRNA from 1 species
AGUCGAGCGCGAAAGCCUCCGGGUGAGUAAAGCGGCGAACGGGUGAGCAACACGUAAUCAACCUACCCUCGAGACCGGAAUAACCACUGGAAACGGUGGAUAAUGCCGGAUGGUCCCUUUGGUCGGCAUCGACCGUUGGGUAAACGGCAGCUUCGGCUGUUGCUCGGGGAGGGGAUUGCGGCCUAUCAGCUUGUUGGUGGGGUAACGGCCUACCAAGGCAAUGACGGGUAGCCGGUUUGAGAGGACGACCGGUCACACUGGGACUGAGACACUGCCCAGACUCCUACGGGAGGCUGCAGUCGAGAAUCUUCCGCAAUGGGCGAAAGCCUGACGGAGCGACACCGCGUGCAGGAUGAAGGCCCUAGGGUUGUAAACUGCUGUCACGCCAUAGGAAGGCCAUGUCGUUAAUAGCUGCAUGGUUGACCAAAGCGAGAGGAAGCACCGGCUAACUACGUGCCAGCAGCCGCGGUAAUACGUAGGGUGCGAACGUUGUUCGGAAUCACUGGGCAUAAAGCGCACGUAGGCGGCUAAGUCAGUUCGGUGUGAAAGCCCUCGGCUCAACCGGGGAACUGCAUCGGAUACUGCUUGGCUUGAGGACGGUUGGGGUGAGUGGAACUCUUAAUGGAGCGGUGAAAUGCGUAAAUAUCAAGAGGAACACCAGUGGCGAAAGCGACUCACUGGACCGUAUCUGACGCUGAGGUGCGAAAGCUAGGGUAGCGAACGGGAUUAGAUACCCCGGUAGUCCUAGCCGUAAACGAUGGGCACUAGGUAGGGGGGACGCCUAUGGUCUUCCCUGCCGGAGCAAAUGUGUUAAGUGC